rnacentral:rRNA from 1 species
UACAGAGGUCUCAAGCGUUGUUCGGAUUCAUUGGGCGUAAAGGGUGCGUAGGCGGCGCGGUAAGUCGGGUGUGAAAUCUCGGAGCUUAAUUCCGAAACUGCAUUCGAUACUGGCGUGCUUGAGGACUGGAGAGGAGACUGGAAUUCAUGGUGUAGCAGUGAAAUGCGUAGAGAUCAUGAGGAACACCAGUGGCGAAGGCGGGUCUCUGGACAGUUCCUGACACUGAGACACGAAGGCCAGGGGAGCAAACGGG